GACGAACGCUGGCGGCGUGCUUAACACAUGCAAGUCGAACGGAAAGGCCCUGCUUUUGUGGGGUGCUCGAGUGGCGAACGGGUGAGUAACACGCGUGUAACCUGCCCUUGACUUUGGGAUAACUUCAGGAAACUGGGGCUAAUACCGGAUAGGAGCUCUUGCUGCAUGGUGGGGGUUGGAAAGUUUCGGCGGUUGGGGAUGGACUCGCGGCUUAUCAGCCUGUUGGUGGGGUAGUGGCGUACCAAGGCUUUGACGGGUAGCCGGCCUGAGAGGGUGACCGGCCACAUUGGGACUAAGAUACGGCCCAGACUCCUACGGGAGGCAGCAGUGGGGAAUAUUGCACAAUGGGCGGAAGCCUGAUGCAGCAACGCCGCGUGCGGGAUGACGGCCUUCGGGUUGUAAACCGCUUUCGACUGUGACGAAGCGUGAGUGACGGUAAUGGGUAAAGAAGCACCGGCUAACUACGUG
rnacentral:rRNA from 1 species